AGCAGCCGCGGUAAUUCCAGCUCCAAUAGCGUAUAUUAAAGUUGUUGCAGUUAAAAAGCUCGUAGUUGAAUUUCGGGAUCAAAUUGUCGGUCGUGCCUCGGUACGCACUGGUAUUAUUGGUUCCUACCUUCUGAAGAACCGCGAUGUCAUUAAUUUGGUGUCGUGGGGAAUCAGGACUGUUACUUUGAAAAAAUUAGAGUGUUUAAAGCAGGCUUACGCUUGAAUACAUUAGCAUGGAAUAAUGAAAUAGGACGUUUGAUUCUAUUUUGUUGGUUUCUAGGAUUGACGUAAUGAUUAAUAGGGAUAGUUGGGGGCAUUAGUAUUCAAUUGUCAGAGGUGAAAUUCUUGGAUUUAUUGAAGACUAACUACUGCGAAAGCAUUUGCCAAGGAUGUUUUCAUUAAUCAAGAACGAAAGUUAGGGGAUCGAAGACGAUCAGAUACCGUCGUAGUCUUAACCAUAAACUAUGCCGACUAGGGAUCGGAUGAUGUUAAUUUUUUUCAAUGACUCAUUCGGCGCCUU
rnacentral:rRNA from 1 species